rnacentral:rRNA from 1 species
AUUGAACGCUGGCGGCAUGCUUUACACAUGCGAGUCGAACGGCAGCGCGGGCUUCGGCCUGGCGGCGAGUGGCGAACGGGUGUGUAAUGCAUCGGAACGUGCCCAGUAGUGGGGGAUAGCCCGGCGAAAGCCGGAUUAAUACCGCAUACGACCUGAGGGUGAAAGCGGGGGACCGAAAGGCCUCGCGCUAUUGGAGCGGCCGAUGUCGGAUUAGCUAGUUGGUGGGGUAAAGGCUUACCAAGGCGACGAUCCGUAGCUGGUCUGAGAGGACGACCAGCCACACUGGGACUGAGACACGGCCCAGACUCCUACGGGAGGCAGCAGUGGGGAAUUUUGGACAAUGGGGGCAACCCUGAUCCAGCCAUGCCGCGUGCGGGAAGAAGGCCUUCGGGUUGUAAACCGCUUUUGUUCGGGAAGAAAUCCUCUGGGCUAAUACCCCGGGGGGAUGACGGUACCGGAAGAAUAAGCACCGGCUAACUACGUG